GACGAACCGUGCGAACGUUGUUCGGAAUCACUGGGCUUAAAGGGCGCGUAGGCGGGCUGUCAAGUCUGGGGUGAAAUGCCGCGGCUCAACCGUGGAACUGCCUUAGAUACUGACGGCCUCGAGGAAGGUAGGGGCAUGCGGAACUGUAGGUGGAGCGGUGAAAUGCGUUGAUAUCUACAGGAACUCCGGUGGCGAAAGCGGCGUGCUGGACCUUUUUCUGACGCUGAGGCGCGAAAGCUAGGGGAGCAAACGGGG
rnacentral:rRNA from 1 species